GAUGAACGCUGGCGGCGUGCCUAAUACAUGCAAGUCGAGCGAACAGAUAAGGAGCUUGCUCCUUUGACGUUAGCGGCGGACGGGUGAGUAACACGUGGGUAACCUACCUAUAAGACUGGAAUAACUCCGGGAAACCGGGGCUAAUGCCGGAUAACAUUUAGAACCGCAUGGUUCUAAAGUGAAAGAUGGUUUUGCUAUCACUUAUAGAUGGACCCGCGCCGUAUUAGCUAGUUGUUAAGGUAACGGCUUACCAAGGCAACGAUCCGUAGCCGACCUGAGAGGGUGAUCGGCCACACUGGAACUGAGACACGGUCAAGACUCCUACGGGAGGCAGCAGUAGGGAAUCGUCCGCAAUGGGCGAAAGCCUGACGGAGCAACGCCGCGUGAGUGAUGAAGGUCUUCGGAUCGUAAAACUCUGUUAUUAGGGAAGAACAAAUGUGUAAGUAACUGUGCACGUCUUGACGGUACCUAAUCAGAAAGCCACGGCUAACUACGUG
rnacentral:rRNA from 1 species